GGGUCAGUAGGUUGGUCGUGCCACCGGUACGUACUGGUCUCACUGAUUCCUCCUUCCUGAAGAACCGUAAUGCCAUUAAUUUGGUGUUGCGGGGAAACAGGACUGUUAAUUUGAAAAAAUUAGAGUGUUUAACGCAAGCUAACGCUUGAAUACAUUAGCAUGGAAUAAUGAAAUAGGACGAUCGAUCCUAUUUUGUUGGUUUCUAGGAUUGACGUA
rnacentral:rRNA from 1 species